GCAAGACGUGCGAGAAAGUAUCUUCGGAUAUGAGUAGAGCGGCGGACGGGUGAGUAACGCGUAGGAAUCUACCUAGUAGAAGGGGAUAGCCCGGGGAAACCCGGAUUAAUACCGUAUACCUCCUUCGGGAGAAAGAAGGCCUCUCUUUGAAGCUUUCGCUACUAGAUGAGCCUGCGUAAGAUUAGCUUGUUGGUGAGGUAAAGGCUCACCAAGGCUACGAUCUUUAGCUGGUCUGAGAGGACGAUCAGCCACAUUGGGACUGAGACACGGCCCAGACUCCUACGGGAGGCAGCAGUGGGGAAUAUUGGACAAUGGGUGCAAGCCUGAUCCAGCCAUACCGCGUGUGUGAAGAAGGCCUUCGGGUUGUAAAGCACUUUAAGCAGGGAGAAAAAGUUAUAAGCUAAUAUCUUAUGACCUUGAUGUUACCUGCAGAAUAAGCACCGGCUAAUUCCGUGCCAGCAGCCGCGGUAAUACGGAAGGUGCAAGCGUUAAUCGGAAUUACUGGGCGUAAAGCGCGCGUAGGUGGUUUGUUAAGUUGGAUGUGAAAGCCCUGGGCUCAACCUAGGAACUGCAUCCAAAACUAACUCACUAGAGUACGAUAGAGGGAGGUAGAAUUCAUAGUGUAGCGGUGGAAUGCGUAGAUAUUAUGAAGAAUACCAGUGGCGAAGGCGGCCUCCUGGAUCUGUACUGACACUGAGGUGCGAAAGCGUGGGUAGCGAACAGGAUUAGAUACCCUGGUAGUCCACGCCGUAAACGAUGACCACUAGCUGUUGGG
rnacentral:rRNA from 1 species